rnacentral:rRNA from 1 species
GGCGGCGUGCCUAACACAUGCAAGUCGAACGAGAAAGUGGAGCAAUCCAUGAGUACAGUGGCGAACGGGUGAGUAACACGUGACUAACCUGCCUUCGAGUGGGGGAUAACCUCGGGAAACCGGGGCUAAUACCGCAUAACAUCCUCAGGGUGCAAUUCCCAGGGGACCAAAGGGGUAAGACGCUUGAAGAGGGGGUCGCGGCUGAUUAGCUAGUUGGUGAGGUAAUGGCUCACCAAGGCGAAGAUCGGUAGCCGGCCUGAGAGGGCACACGGCCACACUGGCACUGAAACACGGGCCAGACUCCUACGGGAGGCAGCAGUGGGGAAUCUUGCACAAUGGGGGAAACCCUGAUGCAGCGACGCCGCGUGAGCGAUGAAGCCCUUCGGGGUGUAAAGCUCUUUCGGCAGGGAAGAUUAUGACGGUACCUGCAGAAGCAGCUGCGGCUAACUACGUGCCAGCAGCCGCGGUAAUACGUAGGCAGCAAGCGUUGUUCGGAGUUACUGGGCGUAAAGGGUGUGUAGGUGGCCUGUUAAGUUCCGUGUGAAAUCUCCCGGCUCAACCGGGAGGGUGCGCGGAAAACUGGCGGGCUAGAGUACGGGAUGGGAGAGUAGAAUUCCUGGUGUAGCGGUGAAAUGCGUAGAUAUCAGGAGGAAUACCGGUGGUGUAGACGGCUCUCUGGACCGUAACUGACACUGAGACACGAAAGCGUGGGUAGCAAACAGGAUUAGAUACCCUGGUAGUCCACGCCCUAAACGAUGCAUAUUUGGUGUAGGCAGUUCAUUCUGUCUGUGCCGGAGCUAACGCGUUAAAUAUGCCGCCUGGGGAGUACAGUCGCAAGGCUGAAACUCAAAGGAAUUGACGGGGGCCCGCACAAGCGGUGGAGCAUGUGGUUCAAUUCGACGCAACGCGAAGAACCUUACCUGGGCUCGAACGGCUCACGAACGUCCUUGGAAACAGGGAUUUCCCGCAAGGGACGGGAGUCGAGGUGCUGCAUGGCUGUCGUCAGCUCGUGUCGUGAGAUGUUGGGUUAAGUCCCGCAACGAGCGCAACCCUUGUCCUGUGUUGCCAUCAUUCAGUUGGGAACUCGCAGGAGACCGCCAGCGAUAAGCUGGAGGAAGGUGGGGAUGACGUCAAGUCCUCAUGGCCUUUAUGUCCAGGGCUACACACGUGCUACAAUGGCCGGUACAAUGCGCUGCUAAGUCGCAAGACGGAGCCAAUCGCAAAAAACCGGUCUCAGUUCGGAUUGCAGGCUGCAACUCGCCUGCAUGAAGCUGGAAUCGCUAGUAAUGGCAUAUCAGAACGAUGCCGUGAAUACGUUCCCGGGCCUUGUACACAC